UACGGGGGGGGCUAGCGUUGUUCGGAAUUACUGGGCGUAAAGGGCGCGUAGGCGGUUCAUUAAGUUGGAUGUGAAAACUCUGGGCUUAACCCAGAGCCUGCAUUCAAAACUGAUGGGCUGGAGUUCUGGAGGGGAUAGCGGAAUUCCUGGUGUAGCGGUGAAAUGCGUAGAUAUCAGGAGGAACACCGGUGGCGAAGGCGGCUAUCUGGACAGAAACUGACGCUGAGGCGCGAAAGCUAGGGGAGCAAACGGG
rnacentral:rRNA from 1 species